UUUGGUGAUCAUAGUGCGCGUGAAACACCCGGCUCCAUCCCGAACCCGGUCGUUAAGCACCGUUGCGCCGAUGGUACUGCGCCCUAAGGCGUGGGAGAGUAGGACAUCGCCAAAC
rnacentral:rRNA from 1 species